CGGGUGAGUAAUGUAUGGGGAUCUGCCUGAUGGCGGGGGAUAACUACUGGAAACGGUAGCUAAUACCGCAUAAUGUCUGCGGACCAAAGCGGGGGACCUCCGGGCCUCGCGCCAUCAGAUGAACCCAUAUGGGAUUAGCUUGUAGGUAAGGUAACGGCUUACCUAGGCGACGAUCCCUAGCUGGUCUGAGAGGAUGAUCAGCCACACUGGGACUGAGACACGGCCAG
rnacentral:rRNA from 1 species